rnacentral:rRNA from 1 species
UAGGGAAUAUUGGGCAAUGGGCGAGAGCCUGACCCAGCCAUGCCGCGUGCCGGAUGAAGGCCUUCUGGGUUGUAAACGGCUUUUCUCAGGGAAGAAAAAGGGUAUGCGUACCACACUGACGGUACCUGAGGAAUAAGCACCGGCUAACUCCGUGCCAGCAGCCGCGGUAAUACGGAGGGUGCAAGCGUUGUCCGGAUUUAUUGGGUUUAAAGGGUGCGUAGGUGGCCUUGUAAGUCCGUGGUGAAAGCCUCCUGCUCAACAGGAGAACUGCCAUGGAUACUGCCGGGCUUGAGUGUAGACGAGGGUGGCGGAAUAGAUGCUGUAGCGGUGAAAUGCAUAGAUAGCAUCUAGAACCCCAAUUGCGUAGGCAGCUGCCUAGACUACUACUGACACUGAGGCACGAAAGCGUGGGGAGCGAACAGG